rnacentral:lncRNA from 1 species
GGUUUGGGACAAGCGUAAUCGACUCUUGAUAAGCAUACAGUUUCCCUGACUGAAACAGCUGUGAGCCUCGGUGGGCCAAGGGCAUUGGUCAGCAGGUUUUACAGAGGACAAGAGAGCAUCGGCUGGCACAGCAGCGGGGUGACAUCACUGAACGCGAAGCUGGGAAGAGAUGUGUACAGUCAGCUCUCGUGCCUGACAAAAGGCAGCUCCAGCACACCCUGGCGAAGAGCAUACUUUGGCCACGAGAGAUCUCUCCAAGGGGACAUGAAGCAAGCAAAGAGGAUCUCGAGAAUUUUCAGAUGGGUUUCUUCCACGUUGUAGGGAAGAUGGCACCUGGUGACCCAAGAGUCACAUCCUCUAACCCCAUGAUCCCAAGGGCUAAAGUCAGUCCUCCUGACUGCACCCGGCAGAAGAAUCCUGGGAGGGAACUCUGACCUGCCCAACUAGAAUCAUGAGCUCAUGCCUGAACUGAUCAC